rnacentral:rRNA from 1 species
UUUGCAAGUCUCCGGUUAAAUCCACCUGCUUAACAGAUGGGCCGCUGGAGAUACUACAAAGCUAGGGAGUGGGAGAGGCGGACGGUAUUCGGGGGGUAGGGGUAAAAUCCUCUGAUCCUCCGAGGACCACCAGUGGCGAAGGCGGUCUGCCAGAACACGUUCGACGGUGAGGGAUGAAAGCUGGGGGAGCAAACCGGAUUAGAUACCCGGGUAGUCCCAGCUGUAAACGAUGCAAACUCGGUGAUGCAUUGGCUUAUGGCCAAUGCAGUGCCGCAGGGAAGCCGUUAAGUUUGCCGCCUGGGAAGUACGGACGCAAGUCUGAAACUUAAAGGAA